AGUGAACGCUGGCGGUAGGCCUAACACAUGCAAGUCGAACGGCAGCACAGUAAGAGCUUGCUCUUACGGGUGGCGAGUGGCGGACGGGUGAGGAAUACAUCGGAAUCUACUUUUUCGUGGGGGAUAACGUAGGGAAACUUACGCUAAUACCGCAUACGACCUACGGGUGAAAGCAGGGGAUCUUCGGACCUUGCGCGAUUGAAUGAGCCGAUGUCGGAUUAGCUAGUUGGCGGGGUAAAGGCCCACCAAGGCGACGAUCCGUAGCUGGUCUGAGAGGAUGAUCAGCCACACUGGAACUGAGACACGGUCCAGACUCCUACGGGAGGCAGCAGUGGGGAAUAUCGGACAAUGGGCUCAAGCCUGAUCCAGCCAUACCGCGUGGGUGAAGAAGGCCUUCGGGUUGUAAAGCCCUUUUGUUGGGAAAGAAAAGCAGCAGGUUAAUACCCCGCUGUUCUGACGGUACCCAAAGAAUAAGCACCGGCUAACUUCGUG
rnacentral:rRNA from 1 species